rfam:Marine metagenome ctg_1101668191075, whole genome shotgun sequence.
UCCAUCGCGAGGUGGAAUCUGAAGGAAGCGCAAAUCCAAAUCGACCAGCCGAGGUACACAAACGCUGUAUAAGGCGUCUUUCUCCGGGCGAGGUUGCCUCAUAAACCAAAGCCCAUCAUUACCAAGGGAGUCUGGCGUAAACAGCGCGGUUGGGUCGCCACAGUUGUUUGU